GACGGAGGAUGCAAGUGUUAUCCGGAAUCACUGGGCGUAAAGCGUCUGUAGGUGGUUUAAAAAGUCCACUGUUAAAAAUUGAAGCUUAACUUCAAAGAUGCCGUGGAAACUUUUAAACUUGAGUAUGUAGGGGUAGAGGGAAUUUCCAGUGGAGCGGUGAAAUGCGUAGAUAUUGGAAAGACCACCAAUGGCGAAGGCACUCUACUGGGCCAUUACUGACACUGAGAGACGAAAGCUAGGGGAGCGAAUGGG
rnacentral:rRNA from 1 species